UAAUGCCGGAUGUUCCACAUGAUCGCAUGUGAUUGUGGGAAAGAUUCUAUCGGCGUGGGAUGGGGUCGCGUCCUAUCAGCUUGUUGGUGAGGUAACGGCUCACCAAGGCUUCGACGGGUAGCCGGCCUGAGAGGGCGACCGGCCACAUUGGGACUGAGAUACGGCCCAGACUCCUACGGGAGGCAGCAGUGGGGAAUAUUGCACAAUGGGCGCAAGCCUGAUGCAGCGACGCCGCGUGAGGGAUGGAGGCCUUCGGGUUGUAAACCUCUUUUGUUUGGGAGCAAGCCUUCGGGUGAGUGUACCUUUCGAAUAAGCGCCGGCUAACUACGUGCCAGCAGCCGCGGUAAUACGUAGGGCGCAAGCGUUAUCCGGAUUUAUUGGGCGUAAAGGGCUCGUAGGCGGCUCGUCGCGUCCGGUGUGAAAGUCCAUCGCUUAACGGUGGAUCUGCGCCGGGUACGGGCGGGCUGGAGUGCGGUAGGGGAGACUGGAAUUCCCGGUGUAACGGUGGAAUGUGUAGAUAUCGGAAAAGA
rnacentral:rRNA from 1 species